rnacentral:rRNA from 1 species
UGGGGAAUAUUGGACAAUGGGCGAAAGCCUGAUCCAGCAAUGCCGCGUGAGUGAUGAAGGCCUUAGGGUUGUAAAGCUCUUUUUACCAGGGAUGAUAAUGACAGUACCUGGAGAAUAAGCUCCGGCUAACUCCGUGCCAGCAGCCGCGGUAAUACGGAGGGAGCUAGCGUUGUUCGGAAUUACUGGGCGUAAAGCGUGCGUAGGCGGCCAUUCAAGUCAGAGGUGAAAGCCUGGAGCUCAACUCCAGAACUGCCUUUGAAACUAGAUGGCUAGAAUCUUGGAGAGGUGAGUGGAAUUCCGAGUGUAGAGGUGAAAUUCGUAGAUAUUCGGAAGAACACCAGUGGCGAAGGCGGCCAACUGGCUCGAUACUGACGCUGAGGUGCGAAAGCGUGGGGAGCAAACAGGAUUAGAUACCCACGUAGUCCCUGAGCGGGCUGGCAAGGCGCAU